UUUUGGUGUUCAAUGCUAUACCCUCUAAAAACAAAAUCUUCAUUUAUUUGAAGACACAAUUCUCUGUACGGGCACUUGCCAUGACUUUAUUUUUGAAUAUUUCUGUGUUCAUGUGGUAGGGAAAACAUUGUUGUAUACUACAAAUUCCCUGUUUUGCUUUUAGGUUGGAGACUACAUAAGACUUUGACAGUUGGCGGGAAACCAUCUUCAACUGGAGAGAUGCCGGAAGAGGAAUGUCUGCGACUAAGUCAAGGGCCACUGGAUAAGGGUUGUUGAUGGCAAAACAGGUUGGAGACUACAUAAGACUUUGACAGUUGGCGGGAAACCAUCUUCAACUGGAGAGAUGCCGGAAGAGGAAUGUCUGCGACUAAGUCAAGGGCCACUGGAUAAGGGUUGUUGAUGGCAAAACAGGUUGGAGACUACAUAAGACUUUGACAGUUGGCGGGAAACCAUCUUCAACUGGAGAGAUGCCGGUAAAAAGAUGGCCAUAAAACAGUGACCGCUGAUUCGCAUUGAGUUCUUUCUUACAUAUUGGAUGACCUAUGUUUUUUAUUGUUUAAAUCAUUGCGGCUUGGAAUGCUCUUUAAGAAAAGGUAUGGUUAUGGGGGUGUCUACGCGCAAAAGUUUGACUUUAUUUUUUGUUAAAGUUAUUGCUUUUACAUUGAAUUUGUGCAGGAAAUCUUUUGGUAUGUUGUGACCUAAACUAACUUGUGAUAAAA